rnacentral:rRNA from 1 species
AAGCUCGUAGUUGAAUUUCGGGGUUAGUAGGUUGGUCAUGCCUCUGGUAUGUACUGGUCUCACUGAUUCCUCCUUCCUUAUGAACCGUAAUGCCAUUAACUUUGGUGUUGCGGGGAAUUUGGACUGUUACUUUGAAAAAAUUAGAGUGUUUAAAGCAAGCUAACGCUUGAAUACAUUAGCAUGGAAUAAUGAAAUAGGACGUUCGAUCUUAUUUUGUUUGGUUUUCUUAGGAUUGACGUAAUGAUUAAUAGGAUAGUUGGG